CCGCCCGGCCAGCCGCCCCGUCUGGGAGGUGAGGGGCGCCUCUGCCCGGCCGCCCCUACUGGGAAGUGAGGAGCCGCUCUGCCCGGCCAGCCGCCCCGUCCGGGAGGGAGGUGGUGGGGGGGUCAGCCCCCCCGCCCGGCCAGCCGCCCCGUCUGGGAGGUGAGGGGCGCCUCUGCCCGGCCGCCCCUACUGGGAAGUGAGGAGCCCUUCUGCCCGGCCACCACCCCGUCUGGGAGGUGUGCCCAACAGCUCAUUGAGAACGGGCCAUGAUGACAAUGGCGGCUUUGUGGAAUAGAAAGGCGGGAAAGGUGGGGAAAAGAUUGAGAAAUCGGAUGGUUGCCG
rnacentral:lncRNA from 1 species